UGAGCUCAGUGCACAUCUUUGUCAUUCUAGGCAAAGGACUCCUCCCUUACGUGUGGGGGGUACGUUCCAGGCUCCCCCAGUGGAUGCGUACAAACCAAGGGUAGUACCAAACUGUAUAUAACCUAUGUUUUUUCCCAUACUGAUAUACCUAUGACAAAGUGUAACUCAUAAAUCAGGCACAAGAAGAGAUUCACAAUAAUAACUAUAAGGUAGAAUAAUGAUCACAAUUUACUGUAAUAAGUGAAUGUAGUCUCUCUCUCUCAAAACAUCCUGUUUUACAGCGCACAUCCUGCUGUGACUUGCGAUGACAUGAGAUAAUGAAAUGCCUACAUGAGGAGAUGCAGUUGGGGAAUGACGUAGGCACGUGACCUGAGGCAGCAUUACCAUUGACCUUCUGAAUCUGCGUCAAAAGGAGCAUCAUAUGCUUCGGAACCACGGUUGGCCACAGGCUCAUCUCUUCCCCUGAAAGGCUAGAGGGAAAGUCCAAGGUACUGAAUGCCAUUCAUGAGAAAAGAAAGACAUGGGCUCGAUUGGUCGAUCUCCUCCAACUAGACAACUCGUGUGGUGUUUGACAAUUGCCAAUUGUCAGAAUGAGGCCCGGACCAUUCAAACCUUCCUUCCUCAUUAGAUUGCAAGUCUUCAGAGGAGAGAAAACACCAUAUUGGGAAAUUGGAUGCCAAAGAGAAGACAUUCACAAGAGAGAGAGAGCACGUGGAGAGGAGCAGAGG